GGCGGUAUAGCCAAGUGGUAAGGCAGAGGUCUGCAAAACCUUUAUCCCCAGUUCGAAUCUGGGUGUCGCCUCCA
rnacentral:tRNA from 1 species